rnacentral:tRNA from 1 species
GGGGCCAUAGCUCAGCUGGGAGAGCGCACCGCGCGCAGCAGGAGGUCAGCGGUUCGAUCCGCUUGGCUCCACCA